rnacentral:pre_miRNA from 1 species
AUAUGCAUGCAACUUGUGUGGACAGACUGACUAGUCUAGUGGUGUAGUGGAAAGUAUUAGUUGGUUGAUGCACGAUGUUGUUUUGCAACAAGUGACUCGUCGCUGCAAUACUGAACCCACAAGUUUUGGAAGUUGUUUUGAUUGGGGCCACCCACAUUGCUCGACUAGAUUCAGUAUGUCCAUUGCAGUUGCAUACAUAU